rnacentral:SRP_RNA from 1 species
GCCAGGCGUGGUGACGCGUGCCUGUAAUCCCAGCUACUCGGGAGGCUGAGGCAGGAGAAUUGCUUGAACCCAGGAGGCAGAGGUUGCAGUGAACGGAGAUCACACCACUGCACUCCAGCCUGGGUGACAGAGCGAGACUCUGUCUUGG